GCGGGGUUAGUACAUCGGUAGUGCGUCGGCUUCCCAAGCCGAACAGGCGGGUUCGACUCCCGUACCCCGCUCCA
rnacentral:tRNA from 6 species